CCUACGGGAGACAGCAGUGGGGAAUAUUGCACAAUGGGGGAAACCCUGAUGCAGCGACGCCGCGUGAGUGAAGAAGUAUUUCGGUAUGUAAAGCUCUAUCAGCCGGGAAGAAAAUGACGGUACCUGAUUAAGAAGCCCCGGCUAACUACGUGCCAGCAGCCGCGGUAAUACGUAGGGGGCAAGCGUUAUCCGGAUUUACUGGGGGUAAAGGGAGCGUAGACGGCAGCACAAGUCUGGAGUGAAAUGCCGGGGCUUAACCCCGGAACUGCUUUGGAAACUGGGCAGCUAGAGUGCAGGAGAGGUAAGUGGAAUGCCUAGUGUAGCGGUGAAAUGCGUAGAUAUUAGGAGGAACACCAGUGGCGAAGGCGGCUUACUGGACUGUAACUGACGUUGAGGCUCGAAAGCGUGGGGAGCGAACAGGAUUAGAUACCCUGGUAGUC
rnacentral:rRNA from 1 species